CUGGGCCAGUGGGGCCAGCGCAGGACGCUGUCGGCUGCCCACGUUGGCCUCGGGUUCCUUACCUGACUGAGAGCUUCCUCCAAGGGGAAAGUGAGGCGUGGAUUGCGUUGACCUGCUAUUCCAGAGCGUGAAACAUCAGACCAGCAGCAGCCUGUGUUUUGUGAUAACUCUGCAGUAUGUUGGUGCCCAGCCCCUUCAGCUGCGUGUUACAGGCUCCGGUACACAACCAGUGUCGGGACCUCUUGCCGCACAGGAGAGCGGAGCCAGCUGGCACGUGUGAUCAACCAGUGAAUUUUAUACCCUGGCUCUGAUGGGAACUGUUAGCUCUGGUGGUUCUUUUGCUUUGAUGGUGACUUGUGGCCCAGUGGGAGGGGUGGCUGGGUGGACUUUAACCGUGCAGCUGCUCUGCCUAUCAUAAUGUCCUAGAUGGGAGAAGUGAUUUUGGGGUGGGGGGUCUGGCUGUGCCUUUUCCUUAUCUUGCAUUUGGGGAUGGGAGAGCCUGCUGUGAUCUGACCUGUUAUCAGAUCGUUAUAGUCGAAGAAAGAGAAUCCUCUGGAUGCUCGAGGAAUCGGUUUAUUCCUUAAACCUAUCCCAGCAUUGCUGAAAGCGUGGCUCUAGGGAAAGUUUGUCUGGGACCUAUUAAGAAUGCAGUAUGUAGCACUCUCCCUAGUGAGUGCAGCUGUGUCCCCUAGUGCUGGUCCUGGAACUGCACUGACCUCUGAGGCCUGGCUGUCAACCCAGCCCCGUUGGCAGGCUCAGGGGCUUUGCAAGCUGAAGUUGCUUUCUCUUCCCAUUGAAAGCAAGGGCUGUCACUAUGUCUGCAGCCCUGGAGCUGGCUUUGCCCACCCAGCCUGGCUCCAUAGGAGCUGGAGCAGAGCCUGUUUAUCUUGGAGCUUUAUAAGGUAGCAAUACCAAAAUCCUAGAGGCUUUUCAUAGCAGCUUGUGAGAGUUCCUUAAGCCAUGGCUCUCUCCCAGGACUCGAGCAGGGCCCAGCAGCCUAGGACAGGGAGGCGUGGAGGAAUCAUUAACAAAAUGCAGAAGUUGUCGCCCAUCUCACAAACUGCAUUGAUGCAUCAUUCCCAUCCAACAAACGGGCCAACUGCAAAGUGUCUGAGGGGUUCUGCCUGUGCUCUCCCUCCUGCGCUGGGCCUUAUUUAAUGGUUGUGUGUGCUGGGAGAGAUGGUUCUGGUGUGUGAGGCCACAGAUUACUGCCCUUGCAGUGUAUUGCAGGACAGACUGAGUUCUCUGUGGAAUGGGUGAAACUAGUUAAGUUUCAACAGAAGAAAUACCAGAGACUUAAAAUCCUGCAGCUUUAAAGCCCCGCUGCCCUGCAGGGUGAAUUCAAUUAAAGAACACGUUGUUCCUGGAAAGUAGCUCUUCUCUUCCACAAAGGGCAGGUGAAACUCUAAGCCACCGGGACUGUGAUUUAUCUCCUCCCAGCAUUCUUCGCUUCUUGUCACGAUGUGCGGUGAUGCUGCGUGCUGCUGAGCAGUGGCGGUGUUCCACCCCAGAGAUGGGUGAAUGUUCCCUGGGUAGGGAAACUACUUUCAUUACCCAUAUAUGCAGAUCAUAAGAACAAAAACUGAAAUACAUGUGAACCUCUCGGAAUCUGCUGCAUGCCUAUAACUUCUUUCAUGCGGAAGGAUCUCUGAGUGCUUCCAAUGAUCACGUGCAUGCAGGUGCUAGGGUGACCGGUCGCUGCUGAAGUGCAGCUUCCUCUGGGGUGGAACAAGCUGUACUUAAUUGUACCAGCAGUUUAGGACAGGAAGUGGAGGUGGCCAUAUCCGAUCACCACUGCAGGGAGGAUUAGUCAGCAGAUUGUGAGACUGAGUGUAAACUAGAUUUAGUCCUGGGCAAACAUCAUGAUUCUGGCUAAUGUGCCUGUGAGUCUUUACAGACCACAUGUGGCCAGUAGUGGUAGCGGCUGCUCGCUCUGAGGGGCAGCACAGGCCCUUUAGGGCUGCGCCACGGCACUGGUUGGAGUGCCGCUCUCUGGAAGUGUUGCCUAGUGAGUUGCCAAACAUCAUCCCUGCUGAUGCCGAUGGAGUGCUUUGCUGGUGCCCUGUGAAGCCCCUUGGUAAGAAUGAUGCCCCAAACCAACUGGAGGGCUGGGGAUUCCCCUGCUGUCAUGUACGGGGGGGAGAAGGGAUAGCUCAGUGGUUUGAGCAUUGGCCUGCUAAACCCAGGGUUGUGAGUUCAAUCCUUGAGGGGGCCAUUUAGGGAUCUGGGGCAACUCAGAGAUUGGCCCUGCUUUGAGCAGGGGGUUGGACUAGAUGACCUCCUGAGGUCCCUUCCAACCCUGAUAGUCUUAAAAAAAAAAAAAUUCUAAAGGGCUCCCGAAGCCACCUGUUCGUCUGCCUCUGGCAUGGGUGCUCUCAAAGCACGAACUGGAGGGAGGAGACACCUGCUCCUCUCAGGUCUCCACGCAGCCCUGAGCUGUUCACUCUCUCGGACCUGAAUACUCAUCGAGAGCCAGGUCCUAACCCCUCUGGGGAGUGCCCCUGGUCUCAGCCUGUUUGCCCUGUGGGGUGGCUGAGAAGGGUUUGAUCCUCCUCUGCCCAGUGUGCACGUUUCUGGGUGGGGGCUUACUGCCAGCCAUGGAGGGAGAGGAAAAUUAUUGGCAGAUCGCUGCAGGAUCAGAGCCCAGGACGCACAAAAGACAGAGCCCAUGUCUAAUCCUUGGCCCUUCUUUACCCCCUGCCAUCUAAGCCAAUCCAAAACCCUGGAUUUGAGGGUGAGGUGAGGCUGGCCCUGUUUUCCAGGUCAGGGAAACUGAGGCACAGAGAGGGGCAGUGACUUUCCCCCGAUCAAGGAGCUGCCAACUCUGGUCCCUGGGCUCUAGGCACUAAAGCAGCCGUCCACUCCCCAGGAGUGCAGGCACAGCCAGGCCCAGGCUUCCAGCCGCACCAAGCGGGAGCUGGGUGGGGACUUCGUUUUAAAUGACAUAGUCACGCGUUUGUGUCUGUGGGUGAACAGACCUAAAACCCAGUGGCUGGCGGCUGCUGUCUGUAGCACUGGCUUGGGAGCAGGCCGUGGGCUGAUGAUACCAUCUUGCCGCCAUGGAGCUCUGCCAUGCACGGUGCUGCCAAGCCCUGCUCCCCACGCUGCCGCCCCCUAGCCAGCACUGUCGCUCGAGCUGAAGCCAGGAGGGCUGAGCCCUCUGCUCUGGGAAAGCCCUGAGAGCGCAGCCAGCGGGAAGGCAUGGGAGACUCUGCCCAGGUCUAGAGCACGGCCCAGGGGUCUGUCUGCCUGCAUGGUGCUGGCUGCGUCGGCCGGGUGCUCUGAGCAGCCAAGAUAAAAGGUGGGGCGGGGGGUGUGGGGGAGUCUGGCUGGAUGCCCUGGUAAAAACAAACUGCUCCGUGGGGUUUCUAGGCUGGCUGUCCCUGAAGCAGGCUGCCGGCCAGUGAGGGGCGAGAUGUCUGGGAGCUGCUGAUGUGGGGUUUUAACAGGAUCCAGUUCACCUCCAGGCUGGGCGGGAGCUAAAGCUGGCCCAGAUGAAGGCAGCAUCCCCUGGGCCCGGUGACUCUGGGCCCCCCUUCCCAGAGGGGCUCAUGCCUAGGCCCCACUAGUGAUGCUCUUGGCAGAUGGGGGGCUGAGGCUCUGGCACUAGCUGGGUGGAGGGCAGGCCCCCAAGGGACAACGUCCUGGGCAGGGAAAAGGAGACCGGCUUGGGUCUGCCCCAGGGUCUGUGUGUGUGCGUCCCCCGCCCCUGAGCAAAGGUUGGGACGGGGGUGCUGCCCUCACAUCGGAGAGCCGGGCUCUGGGAGCGCCCCAGAGGUCCUGGAGGAUCUGGUUCUAGGGCCCUCCCAGUCCGGGGCACCUCUGCCGAGGCUGGGAUGGCGGAGGGACCCCCAAGUCCCAGGGGGGUCAGACGGGAGGGGCCCUUGGGUAACCACCCCUCUCCUCUGUAUCUGCCCAUCCUGAAGCACUGGCAGGCAGGACACUCCCGUGCUCUGGCAUGCAGG